AGUAGAGCCAAGGUGGCUGAACGAUGACGAAUUUGGCACCACCAAUUUCGAAAUUAUAUGAUUUAUGGAAAAGUACUAAUUUCAUUAGCCCAAAGUAGACUGUGGUGGUGGAAAGGUCACCCAAAGUAGCAGCAGCAACAUAUUCCAUAGCCUAACGGUGGUGCAUUCUGAUUCAUGGCCACCUUGGUCAUACUUGUUGGUUGACAGUGAGUUUGGUUCAGUGGGCAAUGUCCC
rnacentral:lncRNA from 1 species